UACGUAGGGUGCGAGCGUUAAUCGGAAUACUGGGCGUAAAGCGUGCGCAGGCGGUUUUGUAAGUCUGUCGUGAAAUCCCCGGGCUCAACCUGGGAAUUGCGAUGGAGACUGCAAGGCUAGAAUCUGGCAGAGGGGGGUAGAAUUCCACGUGUAGCAGUGAAAUGCGUAGAGAUGUGGAGGAACACCGAUGGCGAAGGCAGCCCCCUGGGUCAAGAUUGACGCUCAUGCAC
rnacentral:rRNA from 1 species